GAUCAAGCAGGCAGAGCCUGACUUUUGCUAACUUUGCUUUAUAUUAGCAGUGCCUGCCUACCGCUUUAGCCCAGCCUCAUGUCUCGGGCUCUCUUUCUACCACAGCUACAAUGACAGAUGAAUAUCCAAAUGGCAGCUUCCAGAGCAGGCCGCAAUAUCCAUAUACAAAGCAUGUGCUCUCCUAAUGCCAAACCUUACCCUAAAGACUUCACACCCGUCAUGAAUACCACAGACUCCAUCUCCAGCAAAACUGAUGGGUCUCCUCUCCCAAAAAAAGUUAUACCUCCUCCCCCAGGUAUCUUCUAAAAGAAGUUCUUGUGAGCAACUCCAGGCCUGGGCAGAAAGCAUAGCAGCAUCUCACAUUUUAUACAGCAAGUCACAACACCCAUCCUGAUCAGUGCUUCCUGAUCAAUCAUUAUAAUCAUCAGCAUUUUACACUCAUUGAAGCUCCUGAGAAAAGCUUGGCUCAGCGUUAUCAACGCACUUUUCAGCCUAUACAGUAAAAGAAGAUCGACAGUUCCCCAGCACAAUCACGGUACCAUCACUAUUUUAUCUGGCUGCCCAUCUGCCUGUGAGCCUUUGUUAUGUGCUGCCACAUGGAGAAUUGGAGUUUGGGAUCGGAGCUUAUCCCUUAUGCCGUGGGAGGAAGUGGUGCCUAGUGACACAAGUGACUCUGACUGAACAAUGCAGGGAAAUAACAUUGGCAAGCUCCGAAGGGUGCCUCAGAGCAACGUCUUUAGCUGGAAAAAUGCUGGCUCAUCACAGGGCAAGUGAAGGCGGUGCUGGUGGGGGAGGGGGCAAUAAAGAAAGACGAGGAAAUCCUGAAAGACUCUCCCCUGCCCUUGCCAAAAGUACUCAGUCAUAUUACGGAACAGUCCACCCAAGCCAACAAGACUCAGCAUAACUGGCAAGUGGAGCUGUGUGCAGAAUGGAAAUUCCAUUUCAUGGAGGAGUUUGAGAUUUCCAAAUUCGUUUUCAUUCCCGUAUGGAACAAAAUCCAAAAAUUUCAAAAUUCUUAGUGAAAGCAAAUUAAAAAACAAUCACUUCGGUUUGGUCAGAAUAUUUUGUUACAAUAUAUAAUAC